UGUGAAAUGUUGGGUUAAGUCCCGCAACGAGCGCAACCCUUAUCCUUGUUUGCCAGCGAGUAAUGUCGGGAACUCCAGGGAGACUGCCGGUGAUAAACCGGAGGAAGGUGGGGACGACGUCAAGUCAUCAUGGCCCUUACGAGUAGGGCUACACACGUGCUACAAUGGCGCAUACAGAGGGCGGCCAACUUGCGAAAGUGAGCGAAUCCCAAAAAGUGCGUCGUAGUCCGGAUUGGAGUCUGCAACUCGACUCCAUGAAGUCGGAAUCGCUAGUAAUCGUGGAUCAGAAUGCCACGGUGAAUACGUUCCCGGGCCUUGUACACACCGCCCGUCACACCAUGGGAGUGGGCUGCAAAAGAAGUAGGUAGUUUAACCUUCGGGGGGACGCUUACCACUUUGUGGUUCAUGACUGGGGUGAAGUCGUAACAAGGUAGCGCUAGGGGAACCUGGCGCUGGAUCACCUCCUUAAACGAUGAU
rnacentral:rRNA from 1 species